rnacentral:rRNA from 1 species
UACGUAGGGUGCGAGCGUUGUCCGGAAUUAUUGGGCGUAAAGAGCUCGUAGGCGGUCUGUCGCGUCGAUCGUGAAAACUUGGGGCUUAACCCUGAGCUUGCGGUCGAUACGGGCAUGACUGGAGUUCGGCAGGGGAGACUGGAAUUCCUGGUGUAGCGGUGAAAUGCGCAGAUAUCAGGAGGAACACCGGUGGCGAAGGCGGCUCUCUGGUACGUGACUGACGCUGAGACGCGAAAGCGUGGGGAGCGAACAGG